AGCGAACGCUGGCGGCAGGCCUAACACAUGCAAGUCGAACGAACUCUUCGGAGUUAGUGGCGGACGGGUGAGUAACACGUGGGAACGUGCCUUUAGGUUCGGAAUAACUCAGGGAAACUUGUGCUAAUACCGAAUGUGCCCUUCGGGGGGAAGAUUUAUCGCCUUUAGAGCGGCCCGCGUCUGAUUAGCUAGUCGGUGAGGUAAUGGCUCACCAAGGCUACGAUCAGUAGCUGGUCUGAGAGGAUGACCAGCCACAUUGGGACUGAGACACGGCCCAAACUCCUACGGGAGGCAGCAGUGGGGAAUCUUGCGCAAUGGGCGAAAGCCUGACGCAGCCAUGCCGCGUGGAUGAUGAAGGUCUUAGGAUUGUAAAAUCCUUUCACCGGUGAAGAUAAUGACUGUAGCCGGAGAAGAAGCCCCGGCUAACUUCGUGCCAGCAGCCGCCGUAAUAC
rnacentral:rRNA from 1 species